GUGCAGCUAGAGAGAUUUCCGGUUCCCAUUUCUGUCCGUUGAUUCUUCCAGUAAGGAGAGGCGGCUGGUGCUUAUAAGCGUUCAGAGGACUAAACAGCAAACGAAGACGGGUGGGCUGAGGAAUUCCGCGAACAUGUUCUUUGCAAUGGAGUUUAUGGUUCAGGAUAUAGUGCAGAAAAUAGGAUGAGGAAAUGCCAGAUGAAGUGAUGCUGUUCAGGUGCUGUAAAGGCUUGGAUGAAGAUAAACUGGUUGUGACUCAAACUGAGCAAGAUGGAGUAGCUUUUGCAUUUUGGGUUAGGUUGAAGAGAAUUGACAUCUCUGACUCUGGAUGGGGUAACAUGACCUCACACAGUUCUGAUAUACAAUUUGGGAGUCCUCCUAGACUCAUGGUUCCUGCUGAAGCAGCAGGUGGCAGCCGUGGCCAGGGAGGCUUUGUAAAAGUUCAUCUUGUGAACCAAUGCUCGUUCCUGACCCAAACUGCCUUUGCUCAUGGUCACUUAGAACAAGGGUUUAAUAGUGUGGGAAGAGCCCCCUACCCAGAAUAAAAUAUUCUACAGAAUAUUAAAAGAGGCAGAAUAGAAUAUUUCCCUUAAAGGAGAAGAGGAGAAAAAUCUCAUAACAAAGGCAGAAAGCAGCCCAUCUCUCUGCUAUAGGAAAACAGCCUCAAGUAGAAGCCUCAAGAGGCUAGACUUUAUGAAUGGGUAUUUUCUAUUUCUAUUCUUAAACAAAGGGCAGCCAGCAGCUCCAAAUAAGCAGCAUCAUAGGCAAGGAACUGAAACUGACAAGAUUAGCUCAGACAAAACACCUAGGAUUUGUUUUUCCCCUUUUGCAUGUAGACCCAGUCAUGACUCCUACAUGACCCUAUAGGAAUCUGGCAACUGCCAUUAAAGGACAUAUUCUUGCACAGGAACAGGCAUCUCAAUCACAAAGCCCCCCAAAUUGUAUAAAAGCCCAUCUACUCUCAAUCCCAAUUUGUCAGCCACCCAGAAACAUGCUGUUGUUUCUGGCUACCAAAUAAAUGGAAACCACCUUUCUAAAUGCAGCCUGCCUCCAAUUUAUUUCUCCCAGAUUGGAAUGAGAAAACCAGACCAGAUUUUACUUCCAAUAACAGCUCUGAAAGAGUACUACAUUUAUAUUUGUUUCUAAAUAAAACAACUUUUACCUUGAAAGAGUAACAGUCCUAUGUUGCAUUUAUGAUAAGUUUAAACAAGGGUUUGUUGAUAUUGUUGGUUGUAUCACCAAUGAAUGUAUUACAGAUUUUCCACUGCUUCUAACAAAAGGUUUUGUGUGGGUUUUUAUUGUUUCUAUUAUUUAUGUGCAGGGUUACAUUACCUAUUCAACAGACUAUCUCCAGAUGCUGUCAGCCACAUCCAUUCACUGCUAGCACUAUCAUUCCUCUGCAGCAGUAGUUGAGGACAGAGCUCAAUCUUUAACUGUCCCUCCUGCUUUAUUCUAUGCCACUCUUAUGACUGUAAUGUUAUCUGCCAGGUUAUUUUGGGACACAAGUGUAGUAUUUAUAGAAGAGGACUACAGUUCUGAUCAAAAAGAACCUCACUGAAAGGAAACAGGAACAGAACAGCUUGGCAUGUGCAGUUUAUUAGUCAACUUGGUGACUACCAUUAAUCAGGCAUCCCAAGCAGCUACUACAUCCAUCUGUCAGUCAUUAAUGAGAGAAAUUGGUGGUUCUAAUAAAGAAUAUUUGUAGCUCAGGGUUGACAUGAAGUGCCCUUGGUGCUCUCUGAGCUUGCUUGUUUUCUUGCAGAGG